rnacentral:lncRNA from 1 species
AAAAACAUACAUCAUCACCAGCAUGAGACUGGAGGCAUGAGCAUUACACUGUCACAUACAUACAUACAUGCGAAAAAUGAAAAAUCAUCUAAACGCUUCAACAAACCGGUCUGUUCUCUGCGUUUCGAUGUAGUAGAAUAACCAGCGUCCAUGACUGAUGAUGAAUCAUAUGCUCCCCAUCCUCCACUUUAAACGAAAUCUUUUAAAAAAAAAAAACAGAACAUAAAGCUAAAAAAAAAAUUCUUUUUUUUAAGAAAAGGAAACUAUAUAGUAGAUAUAUAUAUAUAUAUAUAUAUAUUGCCUGGCUCUAUCCUGUCUGCCUUUUACCCACAAAACACAGAGGAAGAGAGAGUGAAGAGAGCUACAUUGUGUUUGUUGACCCCGCUCUCGCUCAAUCAGAAGACUCAUCUGUGAAUGCACCAAAAUGGCCUCCAAAUCCGACGGUGAACGAGGGUAGUUUGGUCAUUGCAGGACAAAGACAUGUCCUUUUCCUUCCUCUGAGGAAGCUUACACCCGAAGGCGAAGGGCAUUGCCAUUUCCAUUUCUCUCAAGUGAACAAAGAGGUGUAAGACUAAAAGGCUGAGGUUGUCUGGCUUUUAGGAGGUAGCUUCUAAUGGGUGAGGUAAGGACUAAAAGUGGAAAUUGAUUGGCACUGGCUCACACUUUGUUAUAUAAGAGAAGGAGAGAAUCAUUUGGGUGGGUAUUUUGGAUUUGAAGAGGCCAGGCCAGGCCGGUGAAAAGCCAUUUUCAACCCUUUUCCCUUUGUCCCUCUGUCCGGUAAUACUCCCCGUUUUGUCUCUCCCUCUCACCCCACUUUCUA